rnacentral:rRNA from 1 species
UACGAAGGGGGCUAGCGUUGUUCGGAUUUAUUGGGCGUAAAGAGCUCGUAGGCGGUUUGGUAAGUCGGGUGUGAAAUCUCCACGCUCAACGUGGAGGGGCCACUCGAUACUGCCAUGACUCGAGUCCGGUAGGGGAGUGUGGAAUUCCCGGUGUAGCGGUGAAAUGCGCAGAUAUCAGGAGGAACACCGGUGGCGAAGGCGGGUCUCUGGGCCGUAACUGACGCUGAGGAGCGAAAGCGUGGGGAGCGAACAGG